GCAGACUGUCCUGCAGGCCCUGCAGACAGCCCACGCCACCCACUCCGCUCUCUCUCAGGAACAGACUGUUGCCGUGGCUGCUCAUCGCGUCUCUGCGGGGGACAGAGGAGACCAAGUCUGGGAUGCCUGAGACCCUCCCUGACCUGAAUCGGAUUCGAUUUUUAUCCUAGCAGCAAAAGGUGAAGGCUUUCGGACCCAAACACCAGAGAAGGUGGUUAGAGACAGGUAGGAGAAACACACACGCACGCACACGCACGCACACACAUACACACACACAGAACACUGCACACCUUUAAGGUUUUCUGCCUCCAGCCUUGUCCUCACUGAGAUCAUCUCAAGCAACUGCAGCUCUCAAACGAAAGCGCCAGGCCUUUGCUGAGUGCCCACUGCACGAAGAGCUCUUGAAAGGCACCUUUAAACUAGUCCCCCAACCACAGUAGUUGCGCGUACGGCCUGAAGACGCCCAUGGUCCACCCUUCACGAGGACAAAACCAACCAGUGCCUGGCAAACAGUGGCACCCAACUAAUGUGUGCAUCACCAGGAGAGCAAUGUGGUAAGGGGCGGGGGAUCCCUUGGGAAAGAAAUGAGGACAUUUCUAGUCCCAGCUUGACUGAUGAGCCUUCAUGAGCCUCUUUCGGAGUGAAACCUCAGACUUUGUUUCCCUCUUUUUGUCCAUGUCUAUUGCCUAUUUAUCCUUAUUGACUUCCUUUUUUUUUAAGGUAUCCAAAAUGGGAUGUUGCAUUUUCCGUAAUUUAAACAAAGUGAACAUAAAUAUAAAACCUGCCAAUCUGUUUAGCAGUCAAACACUUGGAAGUUACAAAACGGCGUAGAAACUGGCUUUCAACCCAGCCUUUGAGAGCCCUAUAAUAUUGGCUACUCUUGAGGGUGCUGGGGGAGGCAGGUUACAAGUUCAAGGCCAGCACCUGCAACGUAGUAGGACCCUGUGUCAAAUAAAAAGUUAAAAAGAGAGUUACUGGGCAAGGAUGGGAGAUGGCUCAGUGACUAAGGGUGAAUAUUAAUCCUGCAGAAGUUCCGUUCCCCGCACCCACAUCAGGUAGCUCAGAACUGCUGCGCCCCUCCUGGCCGCACUGGCACCUGCACUCACACGUACACACACAUACACUCUCUCUCUCUCUCUCUCUCUCUCUCUCUCUCUCUCUCUCUCUCAAACAGGAAAAUAAAAUUCUUUUUUAAAGAGGGCCAGACUACAUAGCUCAGGAUAGAGUGCUUGCCUGCCAUGUUCGGGGCCUAGGUUCAGGUCUUGGUACCGAUCCCCUCAGCUUCCCAAGUAGCUGGGAUGUCAGGCAUGCACCACCACGCGCAGCCUUGAACUCUUCCAGCAUUGUUUUGCGGCCACUACCCAAGACAGCCACUUGGGUAGUGCUGUCCUCUCUGUCUGUCUCAGUUCUCCACCGGCUUCCAAAAGACAGGCCACCUGACUGGGGUCUCCAUGCCCUGGAUCCAUGCCCUGCUUCUCAGUGUGGAUUUUGCUCUAAAUGGACUGGCCGCCCGAAGUCACGGUGUUGUUAUUGCCUUGCUCUGAACGCUCACAGACACCAAGCAGUCUUUCCUUCUCCUCUGGGAUAUCAUGUUCCCGGUUACCACAUGAUAACUGGAAAUCAGCCUGAAUCCCAAGAGCGUUCAAGUGAGUCCAGAGCAGUCAGGAACCUGGACACCCAACUCUUUUCCUUUCUCUGCCCUGCAAGCCAUGCGGUACAGUCCAGGCGGCUGGCUCUGCAGAUCCUUAAAUCAACCUCAGAUAAAACCAACACUGGAUGAAAAAUGUUCAGUGAGUCAAGCCAAGAGCUGCAUAUCCAUCAUCUCAGCACUCAGGGGCCUCAGACAGGGAAAGUGGGAGUUCAAGGCCAGCCUGGGUUGCAUAGAAAGACCCCGUAUCAAAAAAUCAAUCAGGUCAUAUCUAGCUGCAAGAGCUAUUGAUAGUUGAUGGGAUCCUGACAGAGAGGGGUGGUUUUCUUCAGUGGUGUGGCCGAGACAGGUUGCCCACGCUCCAGUGGGUGGUGCCUUGUACUCAUGGGCAUUGGGGCAGCACUAAAUGGACUCUCUGGAUUAUUUAGAGAAAGUGAAGAAGAGGAGGGAGCAACAUGAAGUUAGGAGGAGAAUGUGGGGGUGGGGAGAGGUCAGGAAGAGUUGAAGAGGAAGAGGAAGGAGAGGUAGAUGUGAUCUAAAUAUGUAUGUAUCCAUAUAUGAAAUUACCGAAGAAUACUUUUUAAGACUCAAUGGUAAGGCUGGAGAGAUGGUUCAUAGGUAAUGGCGCUUGCUGCUCUUUGAAAAGGACAAUGUUAGGUGGCUCACAGCCAGCUCUGUCUCAACGGUCACCUGACGUCAUGUGUGCACACCCACACAUGGACACACAUAACUGAAAAGAUAAAAAUAACCCAUUUUAUGUGUAUGAGUGUUUGACUCCAUGUGCAUGUGUGCACCGUGUGUGCACUAACCAUAGAGUUCAGAAAAGGACAUUGUCUGCCCUGGAGCUACAGGGAGUUGUGAGCCGUCCUGUGGGUGCUGGGAGCAGAAUCUCAGUCCUCUAUGCGAGCAAAAACACUCUUAAAGUUUAAACCAUUUCUUCUAAUCAAUGGUAGUGUAAGCUUAGUUGAUGAAGUUGUUCAAUUUGCAUCUGUACUAGACAUGAAAAGACUUUUCCUCUUAUUCCCUAAACAACACAGCAUAGCAACUACAUGCACAGUAUUGAGUUGUGCUAGGUUAUUAUAUUUAUUAUUCUUUCUUCUCUCUCUCUCUCUCUCUCUCUCUCUCUCUCUGUGUGUGUGUGUGUGUGUGUGUGUGUGUUGGUGGGGUGGCCAGAGGACAAUUUUUGGAGAUCCAUUCUCUCCUCCACCAUGUAAGUCCCCGGGAUUGAACUCAGAACUUCAGGCUUGGUGGAAAGCACCUUUACCCAUUGUGCUAGGUAUUUAACGUAAUGUAGAAAUGAGUUAAAUAUGAGAGAGGACAGGAAAGGACUCCAUGCAAAUAUAAUGCCAUUGUAUGUAAAAGACUCUCACAUACUAGGGUUUUGGAGUCCACCCAGGGUGGAAGGUGUGCCUGGAACAAAUUCCCUAAGGAGACCUAAAAGCUGGAUAGUGUGGGAGUUGACAUGUGGUAGUCUGUGACUCAAACCUGGCCUAACGUCUGUGGGGUUGACACUUUUAAAUCACGGUGUUGGCACAAAGCUGUGCUCAUUCGUUGCGAAUUUCUGCAGGUGCUUCCGAGCUACAGUGGCAAAGGCGGGUUGCUGAAAUAGGGUCACAAAACAACCCAUUUACAAAGGAGACUCUGACUUUGUAAAAGUGGGGGCGACGGGUAAAGAGGAUUGCUGCCAACCUGGAUGGCCCAACUUCAAUCCUGGACCCACACAAGGAAAGGAGAGAAUUAAUUCCCACAAGUUGUCCUCUGACUUGUGCAUGCUGAGGGUGCUCGCGCGCGUGCUCGCACACACACACACACUGAAUAAAUGUGAUAAUUAAAAAAGAAGAAGACUGUAGCCUAGCAAAGCAGAUGUGAGCGCCGGAGUAGUGAGGGCCUGAGGGCGCAGGAGUAGAGCUUCUGUAAGUGUGUGAGGCCCUGAGUUCCUUCCCAGCGCUGCCCUGCUGCCGGGAGAAAAGCCAGCAAGUAGCAAUUGAAAAACAAUGAAACAAAUAAGCAAGCAGAGAUCCAAAAGAUAUGAGGCUGAGCUCAAAGACAAGGCUGUCUUCCACACUUUCACCAUUGUAAAUCCCUAUAAAUGCCGAUAGCUGUGGUUUGCCACUAUGUAAUUCUUCGAUUUUAUCUCAGUGGACAUGGGAUCAUUGACCCCACCCACAGGGCACAGUGAAACCUUUCAGAGCAUGGAAUGUGGUGCAGAUGUCAAACCAAGCCCCCCUUGGCACUUUCAUCUGCAUUAGCCAGGAGCAUUCGAACUCCUGUCGCCUAGUCCUUUACAGGAGAAUAAACUGUUGAACAAUAUCAUCACCCUCCCCUGCCCUGUCUCCCCUCUCAUCAUCACUAUUUCUCUCUCUAUUUGUUCAAGGUCAAGAUCUGUAGCUUGCAUGUGAGUGAGACCACACAGCAUUUGACUUUGUGUGCCUAGCUUAUAAAAUUAACAAUAAUCGUUUGGGAGAAAUGGUGUGCUGAAACUGAGUUCUUUGCAUGCUUAUUAAAGUGUAAUAAAUGUUUAAAAAAAACAUUUUCUAACACUUGAAAGUAUCCUUCGCCUGGGCCUUCCUGGAGCUCUUAGGACUCUAGAGCUGUCGGGCAUGUCUCUUUCCAGGAACCAGUUCCGGUUUCUUCUGGUUCUAGGCCUUCUCUUGGCCCCUGGCUCCUGGACUACCUAUUCUAGAAAUGGCCUUUCCAGGAUCUCCAAUCUCUGCAAGGUACAGGGUUAAAGGAUGGGUCUCUCCCCUUGUCCCCUCAACUCUCAAGUGUCAUGAACCAUACAAGCCACCCCUUGGAAAUAAGGGCAAGACAAGAAAGUCCUUCUGACCCCUAAAGCUCAAACAAGUGUCGACUUUCAAGACCAAGAAGAGGUCUUUGAAAGUGAAGGGUUUGCCUCACUCUACAGAUGACACCCGAAGCUAAGGGCCCCCUGCAGUAUGGCCAGAAAGCAGUGGGGGAAAAGACCCCAGGAGCUCUAAAGGGGCCAUGGUGUGUCAUAAUAGGCCCCGAGGGAGAAGAAAUGUGUGUUUCUAAUGCUGACCAUACAUUGGCUAUAGAUGUGCAAUGGCAUCAACUCCACAAUUGGCCAUUGUCCUGAGACAGAAGGUUGAUCCAAAAACAGAUUUUUGUGAGCCUGACCUGGGGAUGCAUGGCUGUAGUCCCAGCACUUGAGAAACAGCAGCAGAAUGCCAUGUAUGUGUUCAGGCCAGCCUGUACUAUACAGGGAGCUCUUGUCUUCUAACAGAGAGAGAGAGAGAGAGAGAGAGAGAGAGAGAGAGAGAGAGAGAGAGAGAGAGAGAGAGAAGAAGAAGAAGAAGAAGAAGAGGAAGAGGAGGAAGAGGAAGAGGAAGAAGAAGGAGAAGAAGAAAGAGAAAGAGAAGGAGGGAGGGUUUGUUGGUACUUUGUAACCAAAUCAGAAUUUGAUGCAGUCUUGGGGGUUAACUUCAAUCUUCAGAAAAGGAAUACAUAGAAAAGGA